UACGUAGGGUGCAAGCGUUAAUCGGAAUUACUGGGCGUAAAGCGUGCGCAGGCGGUUUUGUAAGUCUGUCGUGAAAUCCCCCGGGCUCAACCUGGGAAUUGCGAUGGAGACUGCAAGGCUAGAAUCUGGCAGAGGGGGGUAGAAUUCCACGUGUGAGCAGUGAAAUGCGUAGAGAUGUGGAGGAACACCGAUGGCGAAGGCAGCCCCCUGGGUCAAGAUUGACGCUCAUGCACGAAAGCGUGGGGAGCAAACGAAGGAUAGAA
rnacentral:rRNA from 1 species